UACAGAGGUCCCAAGCGUUGUUCGGAUUCACUGGGCGUAAAGGGUGCGUAGGUGGUGGUGUAAGUUUGGUGUGAAAUCUCCGAGCUCAACUCGGAAACUGCACUAAAUACUACAUCGCUGGAGGGUCGGAAGGGAGACUGGAAUUCUCGGUGUAGCAGUGAAAUGCGUAGAUAUCGAGAGGAACACCAGUGGCGAAAGCGAGUCUCUGGACGACUCCUGACACUGAGGCACGAAAGCUAGGGGAGCAAACAGG
rnacentral:rRNA from 1 species